GAUUCUCUCAUCUGUGGUUUCUGAAGCCUGUGUGAAGUGGUGUUUAGCAGGUUUUAAUUGAUUGGAUUGCCUUGGUCAGCAAUUGGGUUGAUCUUAUAUGCUACCCUAGCAUUACUUGGCUGCCUGGAUGAUAAGAUGUAAAAUCCCUUUCUCAGACAUUGAAAAAAAAAGACCAUCUCCCUAAUGCUCAUUAUUAAUUGGUUGCCUUUUCAGCCUGGCAGACUAUAGGCAAUCAAUUACGGAUUUCAAAACUAUGAACUUCACACUGGCAGAUAUAAGGUCCUCAUCUCCAUAGCUUUUAUGAUCCAUUUUUUUUCCUGAGCGUGACUGAAACCACGACAAGAUCCGCAGUUCCCAGGGUGAGCCUGACUUCAGAGCUCAGUGAUCUGAAGAAUGGAGAUCGUUCAGAAAAAGAACUCAUUAGCAUGACUCAAGAGUCUUGGAAGAAGAAAGAAUUAAUGUCUCCACGUGCCCAGUAAGAAUGGAAUGGCUGGAGAUCAUCUCAGCAAAGAAGAGAGUUUUGGGAGAGCAGGAGAAUAAGACAGAAAAAAAAAGAUCAAAGGUAAAUUAGCACGUUUUGCUCCUC
rnacentral:lncRNA from 13 species